CCUACGGGAGGCAGCAGUGAGGAAUAUUGGUCAAUGGUCGAGAGUCUGAACCAGCCAAGUAGCGUGAAGGAUGACUGCCCUAUGGGUUGUAAACUUCUUUUAUAUGGGAAUAAAAUGUUUCACGUGUGGCAUUUUGUAUGUACUUUAUGAAUAAGGAUCGGCUAACUCCGUGCCAGCAGCCGCGGUAAUACGGAGGAUCCGAGCGUUAUCCGGAUUUAUUGGGUUUAAAGGGAGCGUAGGUGGAUUGUUAAGUCAGUUGUGAAAGUUUGCGGCUCAACCGUAAAAUUGAAGUUGAAACUGGCAGUCUGGAGAACAGUAGAGGUGGGCGGACUUGGUGG
rnacentral:rRNA from 1 species